CCAUAUCACGUUGAAACACCAGUUCUCGUACGAUCACCGACGUUAAGCAACCUCGAACCUGGUGAGUAUCUAGAUGGGUGACCGUUUGCAUAUACCAGGUGCU